AUUUGACAUACUAGGUGGUUAGUAACUACUGACUGUCUCCAGGUUACAACACAGUUAUUACCCACUUGGGUGAAAAGAGAAGACAGGAAAUACAUUUUGGAGUUGGCUGGCAACCUGUUUACAAAGCAAUUUACAACAGUUCCUUAUUCUUAAGGGGCUAUUCUAAUACAAGACCUCAGAGAAACAGUGCAGUGUGACAAAGGAGGAAUUUAUCAAAGGAGACAGAAAAAGCAUCAAGGCAAGCUGUGAAAUGGUGCGGUAGGAACCAAAUAGAGAGCCAAAGGAUCUUUCUGUCACUGCAGGCCCUUAGGGGUAAGCAAAUCCUUCCCUGAUCCCUGGUCUCCUUAUCUGUAAAUGAGAAUACCAGCACCCACCUCACUGUGCUGUAAACAUGAUGAGUUCUAACAAUAAUUUAUAAAUUGUAAAAUCACACAAGCUGAACUCUGAGAACACCACAACUUCACAGAGACUGCUGGUUUUCUGCAAUUAGCAGCAAGAGUCCUGACUCAGGGAAGUUGCUCUCCAGUCCAGACUAGCAAAAGACAGAGAGAAUGGGCUCUGCAGAAGACAGAUCCAGACAAGCCAUGCAUGAUUCAUGCCACCUGCAGCCACACGGGUGUCAAUACCAAGAACCUGCCAUAUGUCAUCAAGAGUGUGUUAAGUGAAACCUUCUCAAGAGUUAUUCUUUUGUGCUCUGUCCAAAUCUGGAGAACCCUUCCAAAUACUAUAAAGAUUGAUAUCUUGGCCGGGCCCGGUGGCUCACACCUGUAAUCCCAGCACUUGAGACGGGGUCUCACUGUAUCAGCUCAGCUGGAGUACAGUGGUGAGAUCAGAGCUCACCGCAGCCUCCGGGCUCCUGGUCUCAAGCAAUCCGGACCUCAGCCUCCCAAGUAGUGGGGACUACAGAGAAUGUACAACUCCUCUGCCACAACGUGAGGGAGAGAAGUCUGCAGACGGCUGACUGGUGACGACUGAACAAGACGGAAAGGCAAGUCGCUAUGCCCGAAGCCUUUGAAGGGAGCCAGCAGGGUCCAUGGGAGGUUC
rnacentral:lncRNA from 10 species